rnacentral:misc_RNA from 1 species
GAAAUGCGAUAAUUAAUGUGAAUUGCAGAAUUCAGUGAAUCAUCGAGUCUUUGAACGCACAUUGCGCCUCCUGGUAUUCCGGGGGGCAUGCCUGUCCGAGCGUCAUUGCUGCCCUCAAGCACGGCUUGUGUGUUGGGCUUCCGUCCCUGGCAACGGGGACGGGCCCAAAAGGCAGUGGCGGCACCAUGUCUGGUCCUCGAGCGUAUGGGGCUUUGUCACCCGCUCCCGUAGGUCCAGCUGGCAGCUAGCCUCGCAACCAAUCUUUUUAACCAGGUUGACCUCGGAUCAGGUAGAGAUACCCGCUGAACUUAGGC